UGUCUAGUAUAAAUAACUUUAUAUUGUGAAACUGCGAAUGGCUCAUUAAAUCAGUUAUGAUCUACGUGACAAAUUCUUUACUACUUGGAUAACCGUGGUAAUUCUAGAGCUAAUACAUGCAAAAAAGCCCUGACUUACGAAGGGGUGCACUUAUUAGAUAAAACCAACGCGGGGUAAAACCUGUUUCUUGGUGAAUCAUAAUAAUUAAGCGGAUCGCAUGGCCUUGUGCCGGCGACGGUCCACUCGAUUUUCUGCCCUAUCAUGGUUGAGAUUGUAAGAUAGAGGCUUACAAUGCCUACAACGGGUAACGGGGAAUUAGGGUUCGAUUCCGGAGAGGGAGCCUGAGAAACGGCUACCACAUCCAAGGAAGGCAGCAGGCGCGCAAAUUACCCAAUCCCGACACGGGGAGGUAGUGACAAUACAUAACAAUGCAGGGCCUUUAAGGUCUUGCAAUUGGAAUGAGUACAAUUUAAAUCCCUUAACGAGGAUCAAUUGGAGGGCAAGUCUGGUGCCAGCAGCCGCGGUAAUUCCAGCUCCAAUAGCGUAUAUUAAAGUUGUUGCAGUUAAAACGUCCGUAGUCAAACUUUAGUCUUACCGGCGUAGUGGCCUGGUCUUCAUUGACCAAGCUCAUUGCUGCCGGAGACUCCAUGUCCAUUGACUCCUAGUCCUCGUGGCUAGGGUUUUCUGGACAAUUACCAUGAGCAAAUCAGAGUGUUUAAAGCAGGCUUUUAAGCUUGAAUGUGUUAGCAUGGAAUAAUGAAAUAUGACUUUAGUCCUAUUUUCGUUGGUUUAGGUACUUCAGUAAUGAUGAAUAGAAACGGUUAGGGGCAUUUGUAUUUGGUCGCUAGAGGUGAAAUUCUUGGAUUGACCGAAGACAAACUACUGCGAAAGCAUUUGACCCGGGACGUUUUCAUUGAUCAAGGUCUAAAGUUAAGGGAUCGAAGACGAUUAGAUACCGUCGUAGUCUUAACCACAAACUAUGCCGACUAGAGAUUGGGCGUGUUUAUUAUGACUCGCUCAGCAUCUUAGCGAAAGUAAAGUUUUUGGGUUCUGGG
rnacentral:rRNA from 1 species